rnacentral:rRNA from 1 species
AUGCGUCGGCCAGGGGCGCGGGCUACAUGCACCGGACACGACCAAGGGCGUGAGUUGCACCCACCGGACAUUGCCAGGACGCGAGCAGCGGUGAGCAAGCGGCGGCCGGCGGGCAUGGAACGGCUAAGGACGCGGCGGCGAGCCAGGACACGAGCAACGACAGGCACGCGGGCGGCUAGGACGCGAGCAGCGGGAGGCACUCGGGCGGCUAGGACGCGAGCAGCGGAGGAAAGCACGAGGAGCAAAGCCAUGGACGCGCCGAUUAGAAGGCUGUCCCUUGACAUGGUCGCAACUCGAAACUGGCAGGAAAGCAGGGACACUCUGACCGUGCUACAUACGUAUAUAUACUUUCUGUGUGCGCUAAGAUUUGCGCCAACGGCCACCUGA